rnacentral:tRNA from 1 species
GGGCCGGUAGAUCAGCGGAAGAUCGCCCGCCUUGCACGCGGGAGGCCGCGGGUUCAAAUCCCGCCCGGUCCA